rnacentral:rRNA from 1 species
GGGUUGUGAGGUUAAGCGACUAAGCGUACACGGUGGAUGCCCUGGCAGUCAGAGGCGAUGAAGGACGUGCUAAUCUGCGAUAAGCGUCGGUAAGGUGAUAUGAACCGUUAUAACCGGCGAUUUCCGAAUGGGGAAACCCAGUGUGAUUCGUCACACUAUCAUUAACUGAAUCCAUAGGUUAAUGAGGCGAACCGGGGGAACUGAAACAUCUAAGUACCCCGAGGAAAAGAAAUCAACCGAGAUUCCCCCAGUAGCGGCGAGCGAACGGGGAGCAGCCCAGAGCCUGAAUCAGUGUGUGUGUUAGUGGAAGCGUCUGGAAAGGCGUGCGAUACAGGGUGACAGCCCCGUACACAAAAAUGCACAUGCUGUGAGCUCGAUGAGUAGGGCGGGACACGUGGUAUCCUGUCUGAAUAUGGGGGGACCAUCCUCCAAGGCUAAAUACUCCUGACUGACCGAUAGUGAACCAGUACCGUGAGGGAAAGGCGAAAAGAACCCCGGCGAGGGGAGUGAAAAAGAACCUGAAACCGUGUACGUACAAGCAGUGGGAGCACAGAGCAAUCUGUGUGACUGCGUACCUUUUGUAUAAUGGGUCAGCGACUUAUAUUCUGUAGCAAGGUUAACCGAAUAGGGGAGCCGAAGGGAAACCGAGUCUUAACUGGGCGUUAAGUUGCAGGGUAUAGACCCGAAACCCGGUGAUCUAGCCAUGGGCAGGUUGAAGGUUGGGUAACACUAACUGGAGGACCGAACCGACUAAUGUUGAAAAAUUAGCGGAUGACUUGUGGCUGGGGGUGAAAGGCCAAUCAAACCGGGAGAUAGCUGGUUCUCCCCGAAAGCUAUUUAGGUAGCGCCUCGUGAAUUCAUCUCCGGGGGUAGAGCACUGUUUCGGCAAGGGGGUCAUCCCGACUUACCAACCCGAUGCAAACUGCGAAUACCGGAGAAUGUUAUCACGGGAGACACACGGCGGGUGCUAACGUCCGUCGUGAAGAGGGAAACAACCCAGACCGCCAGCUAAGGUCCCAAAGUCAUGGUUAAGUGGGAAACGAUGUGGGAAGGCCCAGACAGCCAGGAUGUUGGCUUAGAAGCAGCCAUCAUUUAAAGAAAGCGUAAUAGCUCACUGGUCGAGUCGGCCUGCGCGGAAGAUGUAACGGGGCUAAACCAUGCACCGAAGCUGCGGCAGCGACGCUUAUGCGUUGUUGGGUAGGGGAGCGUUCUGUAAGCCUGCGAAGGUGUGCUGUGAGGCAUGCUGGAGGUAUCAGAAGUGCGAAUGCUGACAUAAGUAACGAUAAAGCGGGUGAAAAGCCCGCUCGCCGGAAGACCAAGGGUUCCUGUCCAACGUUAAUCGGGGCAGGGUGAGUCGACCCCUAAGGCGAGGCCGAAAGGCGUAGUCGAUGGGAAACAGGUUAAUAUUCCUGUACUUGGUGUUACUGCGAAGGGGGGACGGAGAAGGCUAUGUUGGCCGGGCGACGGUUGUCCCGGUUUAAGCGUGUAGGCUGGUUUUCCAGGCAAAUCCGGAAAACUAAGGCUGAGGCGUGAUGACGAGGCACUACGGUGCUGAAGCAACAAAUGCCCUGCUUCCAGGAAAAGCCUCUAAGCAUCAGGUAACAUCAAAUCGUACCCCAAACCGACACAGGUGGUCAGGUAGAGAAUACCAAGGCGCUUGAGAGAACUCGGGUGAAGGAACUAGGCAAAAUGGUGCCGUAACUUCGGGAGAAGGCACGCUGAUAUGUAGGUGAAGUCCCUCGCGGAUGGAGCUGAAAUCAGUCGAAGAUACCAGCUGGCUGCAACUGUUUAUUAAAAACACAGCACUGUGCAAACACGAAAGUGGACGUAUACGGUGUGACGCCUGCCCGGUGCCGGAAGGUUAAUUGAUGGGGUUAGCGCAAGCGAAGCUCUUGAUCGAAGCCCCGGUAAACGGCGGCCGUAACUAUAACGGUCCUAAGGUAGCGAAAUUCCUUGUCGGGUAAGUUCCGACCUGCACGAAUGGCGUAAUGAUGGCCAGGCUGUCUCCACCCGAGACUCAGUGAAAUUGAACUCGCUGUGAAGAUGCAGUGUACCCGCGGCAAGACGGAAAGACCCCGUGAACCUUUACUAUAGCUUGACACUGAACAUUGAGCCUUGAUGUGUAGGAUAGGUGGGAGGCUUUGAAGUGUGGACGCCAGUCUGCAUGGAGCCGACCUUGAAAUACCACCCUUUAAUGUUUGAUGUUCUAACGUUGACCCGUGAUCCGGGUUGCGGACAGUGUCUGGUGGGUAGUUUGACUGGGGCGGUCUCCUCCUAAAGAGUAACGGAGGAGCACGAAGGUUGGCUAAUCCUGGUCGGACAUCAGGAGGUUAGUGCAAUGGCAUAAGCCAGCUUGACUGCGAGCGUGACGGCGCGAGCAGGUGCGAAAGCAGGUCAUAGUGAUCCGGUGGUUCUGAAUGGAAGGGCCAUCGCUCAACGGAUAAAAGGUACUCCGGGGAUAACAGGCUGAUACCGCCCAAGAGUUCAUAUCGACGGCGGUGUUUGGCACCUCGAUGUCGGCUCAUCACAUCCUGGGGCUGAAGUAGGUCCCAAGGGUAUGGCUGUUCGCCAUUUAAAGUGGUACGCGAGCUGGGUUUAGAACGUCGUGAGACAGUUCGGUCCCUAUCUGCCGUGGGCGCUGGAGAACUGAGGGGGGCUGCUCCUAGUACGAGAGGACCGGAGUGGACGCAUCACUGGUGUUCGGGUUGUCAUGCCAAUGGCACUGCCCGGUAGCUAAAUGCGGAAGAGAUAAGUGCUGAAAGCAUCUAAGCACGAAACUUGCCCCGAGAUGAGUUCUCCCUGACUCCUUGAGAGUCCUGAAGGAACGUUGAAGACGACGACGUUGAUAGGCCGGGUGUGUAAGCGCAGCGAUGCGUUGAGCUAACCGGUACUAAUGAACCGUGAGGCUUAACCUUACAACGCCGAAG